rnacentral:rRNA from 1 species
GACGAACGCUGGCGGCGUGCUUAACACAUGCAAGUCGAACGGAAAGGCCCUGCUUUUGUGGGGUGCUCGAGUGGCGAACGGGUGAGUAACACGUGAGUAACCUGCCCUUGACUUUGGGAUAACUUCAGGAAACUGGGGCUAAUACCAGAUAGGAGCUCCUGCUGCAUGGUGGGGGUUGGAAAGUUUCGGCGGUUGGGGAUGGACUCGCGGCUUAUCAGCUUGUUGGUGGGGUAGUGGCUUACCAAGGCUUUGACGGGUAGCCGGCCUGAGAGGGUGACCGGCCACAUUGGGACUGAGAUACGGCCCAGACUCCUACGGGAGGCAGCAGUGGGGAAUAUUGCACAAUGGGCGGAAGCCUGAUGCAGCAACGCCGCGUGCGGGAUGACGGCCUUCGGGUUGUAAACCGCUUUCGCCUGUGACGAAGCGUGAGUGACGGUAAUGGGUAAAGAAGCACCGGCUAACUACGUGCCAGCAGCCGCGGUGAUACGUAGGGUGCGAGCGUUGUCCGGAUUUAUUGGGCGUAAAGGGCUCGUAGGUGGUUGAUCGCGUCGGAAGUGUAAUCUUGGGGCUUAACCCUGAGCGUGCUUUCGAUACGGGUUGACUUGAGGAAGGUAGGGGAGAAUGGAAUUCCUGGUGGAGCGGUGGAAUGCGCAGAUAUCAGGAGGAACACCAGUGGCGAAGGCGGUUCUCUGGGCCUUUCCUGACGCUGAGGAGCGAAAGCGUGGGGAGCGAACAGGCUUAGAUACCCUGGUAGUCCACGCUGUAAACGGUGGGUACUAGGUGUGGGGUCCAUUCCACGGGUUCCGUGCCGUAGCUAACGCUUUAAGUACCCCGCCUGGGGAGUACGGCCGCAAGGCUAAAACUCAAAGGAAUUGACGGGGCCCCGCACAAGCGGCGGAGCAUGCGGAUUAAUUCGAUGCAACGCGUAGAACCUUACCUGGGUUUGACAUGGAUCGGGAGCGCUCAGAGAUGGGUGUGCCUCUUUUGGGGUCGGUUCACAGGUGGUGCAUGGCUGUCGUCAGCUCGUGUCGUGAGAUGUUGGGUUAAGUCCCGCAACGAGCGCAACCCUUGUUCACUGUUGCCAGCACGUUAUGGUGGGGACUCAGUGGAGACCGCCGGGGUCAACUCGGAGGAAGGUGGGGAUGACGUCAAGUCAUCAUGCCCCUUAUGUCCAGGGCUUCACGCAUGCUACAAUGGCUGGUACAGAGAGUGGCGAGCCUGUGAGGGUGAGCGAAUCUCGGAAAGCCGGUCUCAGUUCGGAUUGGGGUCUGCAACUCGACCUCAUGAAGUCGGAGUCGCUAGUAAUCGCAGAUCAGCAACGCUGCGGUGAAUACGUUCCCGGG